AACGGUCCAGAAGCACGUGGCUCUCUCAGAUGAAGCAAGAAAUGACGGAAUUUCCGGUCCCGCCCUCUGGGUAUUAGUGUCACCUCUGACCCCACCCAUGAUGCCGUCUGACCUCCCAACCAGCACCCACUUCCUCUGCCCUAAUCAGUUUCCGGUCCUCCUGAAAACAGCCAAUGUCCGUUGACCACGCUCCCACGCCCCUGAAAGUUAGUGACAUUCCUGGUUCUGAUGCUACAAGUCCCUCCCCUCUUCAGUGGCUUUUGGGAAAUCUGCUGCCUGGGCAAAAUAUCUUCUCUGCAGUUGUAUGUGCAUCACAGCUAAUGUACAGAGAGAGUGAGAGACCUUGGAACCUUCAGCCCUAAAUGAGAUGUCCCCACCAAAACCAACUCCUCAAGGCGCAGGAAGCAGAGGAAGCAAAAAGAUUGCAGGAGCCAGAGGGACCUACAGAGACACAUGAAGUCACAGAGCCGGUGGCAGCUCUUAACAGGUCGGCACAGGUCUGGGUCAGAUGACAUCUCAGAACUGGACAGCAGCCCCUGGCUCUGAAGUUCUGCUGUCUAGCUGUCUUGGAACUCAUUUUGAGGAAGAUUCUAGCCUUGAACUCACAGACAUCCAUCUGCUUCUGCCUCCUGAGACCCGGAAUUAAAAAGGCCUGUGCCACCUGAAGAGCCAAAACUCCAGAUCAACCCUUCCCCCAGCCUUCGCUCCUAGAGGCUACCUUGUAUGCAACAGGCCUAAGGUCAAAACUAGACACAAAGGAACUCCAAACCCCCCUAGCCUUCUAGGUACUUGGAUCCUGGGGACUGUUUGACCACAAAAGAAACUCCCCUGUAGUCUCCAGGAGAUUCAAUUCUGAAAAAUAUUAGUACAAUAGACAACUUGCAAGCCAUAGAAACCACAGAAUGUUCCCUCCCAGUGCCAACCUAUGAGAAAAAUGGGUACACAGGUAUACAAGCCAAAAACAUGACUUUGAAAAAUCUCUUGAUUGUUCCCCAAAUGUCAGCCCAUCAGAAACCAACCCAUACCUACUGAUGCAUUCCUGUAACUUUUGUCUUUAAAACCUAGCAGUAGUCAGGGAACUUUACCCCCUCUGGAGGCUGCUGUGUCAACCUGCUAGACAGGUCCCUUCCGAGUGGAAGGAUAGAAUAAUCAAUAAACCUUGUGCAUUCGCA